AACCACGAUGUGACUCCGCCGCCGGGGACCCGUGAGGUUUGUGUGGACCCCGAUUCCACCAGGUGAGAAGAGUGAUGACCAUCCUUUUCCUUACUAUGGUUAUUUCAUACUUUGGUUGCAUGAAGGCUGCCCCCAUGAAAGAAGCAAACAUCCGAGGACAAGGUGGCUUGGCCUACCCAGGUGUGCGGACCCAUGGGACUCUGGAGAGCGUGAA
rnacentral:lncRNA from 1 species